rnacentral:lncRNA from 1 species
AUGACCAUUCAUCAUUCACUGCACCCUCGCAGUGAUGUUGACCGGCUCUAUCUGCCUAGAAGAUCAGGGGGCAGAGGACUCUUGCAAGUAAAACAAGCAGUCAAAGAAGAAGAACAUGCCCUGGCAGAAUAUGGAAAGCAAAGUGAAGAAUCUGCUUUGAUUGAAGUCAAAAAUCAGAAACUCCUCAAAACAGAACAGACAAAAAACCAGUACAAGAAAACCGCACUACAAACUAGAGCUGACAGCUGGCACAACAAAACAUUGCAUGGAAAGUUCCUUGACAAAAUUGAAGGAAAAGCUGAUAAAGAGAAGACCUGGAUCUGGCUCACAAAUGGGACCCUGAAGAAGGAGACAGAAGGCCUGAUCCUUGCAGCCCAGGAGCAAGCCAUCAGGACAAAGGCAAUUCAGGCCAAGAUCGAAAAAUCAGCUGAUGACCCAAAAUGCAGACUGUGCAAGGAAACUGACGAAACCAUGGAUCAUCUCCUCAGCUGCUGUAAGAAAAUCGCACAGACAGACUACAAACAGAGGCACAACUAUGUGGCCCAAAUGAUUCAUUGGAACUUAUGCCUCAAGUACCACCUCCCAGCAGCAAAGAACUGGUGGGAUCACAAACCUGCAAAAGUCUUGGAAAAUGAGCACGCAAAGAUACUGUGGGACUUCCGAAUCCAGACUGACAAAGUUCUGGAACACAACACACCAGACAUCACAGUUGUGGAAAAGAAAAAGGCUUGGAUUAUUGAUGUCACCAUCCCAGGUGACACCUGGAGGGAGGGCCGAAGUUGGCCCAUGCCUGGUGUAGAUCCAGCCACAGAAUGCAAGGCUAGGAGCGCAACAUUCUUGGAGCGCAAUGUGGAAGGAAUCCCUGAUGUGCUGCCCAACCCAGAUAAAGCCCUCCAGUGUUCGAGUGGAAAGAUUAUAACAUUGCAAAACAGUCUGCCAGGGCCCGCUGUCAAGUCUGCUCUGCGUUUCCAAAAGCACUCCACAUUAGCAAGAGCCCCGAAGAGCCUUUGUGCGAGAACUUUGCUCCUCGGAGCUAGUUUGCGCAGGACGGCAUGUGCUUUGGCAGGAACACAAACACUCCGGCCCCGGGGCUCCCAAAGUCCACGCGAGAAAAGAAGGCCAAGAUCCUGUUUAAUGCUGAUUUAA